UACGUAGGGUCCGAGCGUUGUCCGGAGUUACUGGGCGUAAAGGGCGCGUAGGCGGCACGGCAAGUCAGGAGUGAAAGCCCUGGGCUCAACCCGGGAACUGCUUUUGAAACUGCCGAGCUAGAGUGCGGAAGGGGCAACUGGAAUUCCCAGUGUAGCGGUGAAAUGCGUAGAUAUUGGGAAGAACACCUGAGGCGAAGGCGGGUUGCUGGGCCGACACUGACGCUGAGGCGCGAAAGCCAGGGGAGCGAACGGG
rnacentral:rRNA from 1 species